AAGAUCGUGCUUCAUGGGAUCAUUUCUAUAGUGCGAUCGCCGAGACGCAACCGCGAUCUCGGAACACAUUCGACCACGAUGAUGUGUCGUGGGUCUCCGCUUGAGCGUGAAGCUGGCUCGGUAACUGGGGCAUAGAGAAAGAAGAAGACAAGAGCGGACACUCCGCGAA